UCAGAUCAGUACUGUGUUGAUCUUCCUAAUACGGAUGAUAAUCAUCAGCUAAAAGUUCCAAAAUAUGAUGCAUUCACAACAAAUUUUGGGGUCAUCAGCCAGAUUUGUUGUUUCGAGGCAGAUGAAGGAUCAACAGAUUCUGAUCCCGAAGAAAUUCAAGGCAAGAACUCCAACAUUGAUGAUAUUUUAAGGACCGCAUGGAAGAAAGCUGAAGGUGAUAUUUGAAUAUAAGGCCAAUUAUCUAUAAAGUCUAUUUCUUUGAAGUUCAGAUAGACAUUUUUCUUUCAGAGAAUAAGAAUGAGUUCAAAACAAUAGCACAUUUUAAUUCUGAUGUCUGCAUUUAAUGGACCAUUGGAGAUUUGUGUUAUCUGUUUAUUUUGUAUUAUCAUGAAUUCUUUGAUACACAUUGCUCUGUAAGAUAUAUAAAUGGUUGAUUUUUGUUUAAUAAUUUUCACUUUUAUUAUUCAAAUUCCAUGAUUACUGACUGGCUUUUAUUUCUUUUGUAAAGAUAUAUGUGUUUAUAUCAAAAUAAG